AGGGCUUAAAUGUAGGCCGACAGGCCCGGAAACGGGCUUUUCUUCGGACGGCUUACAAGGUGCUGCAUGGUUGUCGUCAGCUCGUGCCGUGAGGUGUCAGGUUAAGUCCUAUAACGAGCGCAACCCCUGUCGCUAGUUGCCAGCGAGUAAUGUCGGGAACUCUAGCGAGACUGCCAGUGCAAACUGCGAGGAAGGUGGGAUGACGUNAAUCAUCACGGCCCUUACGCCCUGGGCUAC
rnacentral:rRNA from 1 species